GAGACACGCUGGCGGCGUGCCUAACACAUGCAAGUCGAGCGGAGGAUUCGAGAUGUUUACAUCGAAGGAUCCUUAGCGGCGGACGGGUGAGUAACACGUGGGUAACCUGCCUCAGAGUGGGGGAUAGCCUUUCGAAAGGAAGAUUAAUACCGCAUAAGAUUGUAGCGUCACAUGGCGCAGCAAGAAAAGGAGCAAUCCGCUUUGAGAUGGACCCGCGGCGCAUUAGCUAGUUGGUGAGGUAACGGCUCACCAAGGCCACGAUGCGUAGCCGACCUGAGAGGGUGAUCGGCCACAUUGGAACUGAGACACGGUCCAGACUCCUACGGGAGGCAGCAGUGGGGAAUAUUGCACAAUGGGCGAAAGCCUGAUGCAGCAACGCCGCGUGAGUGAUGAAGGCCUUCGGGUCGUAAAGACUCUUUUGAUCAGGGAUGAUAAUGACAGUACCUGAAAAAACAAGCCACGGCUAACUACGUG
rnacentral:rRNA from 1 species